rnacentral:rRNA from 1 species
CGGGAGGUGGCGGCGUGCUAUACAUGCAGUCGAACGAGUUCUCGUUGAUGAUCGGUGCUUGCACCAGAGAUUCAACAUGGAACGAGUGGCGGACGGGUGAGUAACACGUGGGUAACCUGCCCUUAAGUGGGGGAUAACAUUUGGAAACAGAUGCUAAUACCGCAUAGAUCCAAGAACCGCAUGGUUCUUGGCUGAAAGAUGGCGUAAGCUAUCGCUUUUGGAUGGACCCGCGGCGUAUUAUUGCUAGUUGGUGAGGUAAUGGCUCACCAAGGCGAUGAUACGUAGCCGAACUGAGAGGUUGAUCGGCCACAUUGGGACUGAGACACGGCCCAAAAUCUCCUACGGGAGGCAGCAGUAGGGAAUCUUCCACAAUGGACGCAAGUCUGAUGGAGCAACGCCGCGUGAGUGAAGAAGGCUUUCGGGUCGUAAAACUCUGUUGUUGGAGAAGAAUGGUCGGCAGAGUAACUGUUGUCGGCGUGACGGUAUCCAACCAGAAAGCCACGGCUAACUACGUGCCAGCAGCCGCGGUAAUACGUAGGUGGCAAGCGUUAUCCGGAUUUAUUGGGCGUAAAGCGAGCGCAGGCGGUUUUUUAAGUCUGAUGUGAAAGCCCUCGGCUUAACCGAGGAAGCGCAUCGGAAACUGGGAAACUUGAGUGCAGAAGAGGACAGUGGAACUCCAUGUGUAGCGGUGAAAUGCGUAGAUAUAUGGAAGAACACCAGUGGCGAAGGCGGCUGUCUGGUCUGUAACUGACGCUGAGGCUCGAAAGCAUGGGUAGCGAACAGGAUUAGAUACCCUGGUAGUCCAUGCCGUAAACGAUGAAUGCUAGGUGUUGGAGGGUUUCCGCCCUUCAGUGCCGCAGCUAACGCAUUAAGCAUUCCGCCUGGGGAGUACGACCGCAAGGUUGAAACUCAAAGGAAUUGACGGGGGCCCGCACAAGCGGUGGAGCAUGUGGUUUAAUUCGAAGCACGCCGAAGAACCUUACCAGGUCUUGACAUCUUUUGAUCACCUGAGAGAUCAGGUUUCCCCUUCGGGGGCAAAAUGACAGGUGGUGCAUGGUUGUCGUCAGCUCGUGUCGUGAGAUGUUGGGUUAAGUCCCGCAACGAGCGCAACCCUUAUGACUAGUUGCCAGCAUUUAGUUGGGCACUCUAGUAAGACUGCCGGUGACAAACCGGAGGAAGGUGGGGAUGACGUCAAAUCAUCAUGCCCCUUUUGACCGGGGCUACCCCCGGGCUAAAAGGGAGGGGACACCGAAUUUCGAGACCGCCAGGUCAAGCUAUUCUUUAAAAGCCAUUCUCAGUUCGGACUGUAGGCUGCAACUCGCCUACACGAAGUCGGAAUCGCUAGUAAUCGCGGAUCAGCACGCCGCGGUGAAUACGUUCCCGGGCCUUGUACACACCGCCCGUCACACCAUGAGAGUUUGUAACACCCGAAGCCGGUGGCGUAACCCUUUUAGGGAGCGAGCCGUCUAAGGUA